CAAUAGCGUAUAUUAAAGCUGUUGCGGUUAAAAAGCUCGUAGUUGGAUUUCUGUCAAGGACAACUGGUCCGCCCUCCGGGUGAGCACAUAGUUUGGUCUUGGCAUCUUGCUGGAAACUGUUGCUGCACUUGGCUGUGUGGCGCAGCGUCCAGCACUUUCACUUUGAGGAAAUUGGAGUGUUUCAAGCAGGCACAUGCCUUUGGACACAGUAGCAUGGAAUAAUUAGAUUGGGCUUUUGCUCCAAUUUGUCGGUUCCUGGAGCUGAGGUGAGAAUUAAUGGGGAUUGUUGGGGGCAUCCGAAUUUAGCCGUCAGAGGUGAAAUUCUUGGAUCUGCUAAAGACGGACAACUGCGAAAGCGUUUGCCCAGGAUGUUUUCAUUGA
rnacentral:rRNA from 1 species